rnacentral:misc_RNA from 1 species
UCUCCGUAGGUGAACCUGCGGAGGGAUCAUUACAGAGUUCUCGCCCCUCCGGGUGGAUCUCCCACCCACUGUGAUUGAUACUGUGUUGCUUUGGCGUGCCUCCGGGCCCUGCCCGUCCGCCGGCUCCGGCUGGCGAGCGCCCGCCAGAGGCUCCGCAACCUCUGAAUGUCAGUGUCGUCUGAGUACUAUAUAAUAGUUAAAACUUUCAACAACGGAUCUCUUGGUUCUG